rnacentral:rRNA from 1 species
UACGUAGGGUGCGAGCGUUGUCCGGAAUUAUUGGGCGUAAAGAGCUCGUAGGCGGUCUGUCGCGUCGAUCGUGAAAACUUGGGGCUUAACCCUGAGCUUGCGGUCGAUACGGGCAUGACUGGAGUUCGGCAGGGGAGACUGGAAUUCCUGGUGUAGCGGUGAAAUGCGCAGAUAUCAGGAGGAACACCGGUGGCGAAGGCGGGUCUCUGGACCGAUACUGACGCUGAGGAGCGAAAGCGUGGGGAGCGAACAGG